UGUCGCACAGAGACCUUCAAGUGAUGUAACAUUAUUACAUAUCAUCAUGUAUACGUGUCCCCAAAUGGAGUACAUGGUGAAAAGGAAAGGCAUUUCCACACAACACAAGAAUCUCUCUCCCUCUCUCUCUCUUGGAGCCUCCCUCCAUGCCCCAAGAAACAGAGAGAACAAAUUUAGGGAAAGAGGCUUCUUCACCCAUUGACCAUGUUUUUCUGAAUUCAAGUCUCUUCAGCUUCAGCUGCAUAUCCAGAUGUUCUGUCUUUGUGUAAUCUAUUGUGAUGGUUGUUGAUGAUUUGGGGUUGCCUGUGUUCCUUGGAAGAAGAAGAAGGAGAAGGAGAAGAAGAUAUAUAAAAGAUACUUUUUAGAUAGGCUGACCGAGUUGGGUUGCCUUAGAUCCAGGAAAACCCAAGUUCUGUGUCAAAAAGUUUUCACCUUUGUCUGGUUUUCUUGUGAUUACUAGUGUUAGUUUCCUUUUUCCUAGGUUCUUUCUCAUGAACCCUUUGCUUUCUCUUCUUGGAUUUAUAGAUAAACGUCAGAUUGCAGUUAUUUUCAUGUGCUUAUGUGUAUAUUUGAGGGUUGGUGGUGAGGAUAGGAUUUUGGUAUUAUGUGGCUGA